GUGCUAUAAAAGAGUGGAUUUGUUGGUUGAGGGCUUCUGGAGUCAGUUGGCUGCUGUGAGAAGAAGGAAGAGUCAGUGCUUGGAGGAGCUGCCUAUGAGAAACACCAAGGAGUUCUUCCCUUCCACAAAGCAAUUGUUUACUGAAGUCUCCAGCUGCAGAACCAGGCUGGGACACUCCUUUGCUCCACAGACUUCAUGCAAAGCAGAUCAAGCCUUGGUUUAUGGACAAAGGCCUGGCACAGGAAGGGCGGAGGUUGGUCACACAUGCCAAAGGAGCUCUGAAAAGCAGCCCAAAACUGCCCAGGGCUUUAUAUUUGCCUGGCUUAGCUAAUUUGGAUGGGCCCAGCUUACCACACUCUCCAGGAUGUUUAUGCCUGUCCUCCCUCUCAUUUACUCUUUCAGUCAUCUUUUUGUAUUUGUAAAUUAGAUCAAGUAAUUAAUUCUGUCUUUAUUUCCUUACUGCUCAGGAAAAUAUUGUGACAAAUGCUGCAGCCUCAAGUAAAGCAUCCUGUUAAAUAACCAUCUUCUGUUCAA